UGGGGAAUUUUGGACAAUGGGGUAAACCCUGAUCCAGCCAUCCCGCGUGUGCGAUGAAGGCCUUCGGGUUGUAAAGCACUUUUGGCAGGAAAGAAACGUCAUGGGUUAAUACCCCGUGAAACUGACGGUACCUGCAGAAUAAGCACCGGCUAACCACGUGCCAGCAGCCGCGGUAAUACGUAGGGUGCAAGCGUUAAUCGGAAUUACUGGGCGUAAAGCGUGCGCAGGCGGUUCGGAAAGAAAGAUGUGAAAUCCCAGAGCUCAACUUUGGAACUGCAUUUUUAACUACCGGGCUAGAGUGUGGCAGAGGGAGGUGGAAUUCCGCGUGUAGCAGUGAAAAGCGUAGAUAUGGGGAGGAACACCGAUGGCGAAGGCAGCCUCCUGGGAUAACACUGACGCUCAUGCACGAAAGCGUGGGGAGCAAACAGG
rnacentral:rRNA from 1 species